GAUGAACGCUGGCGGCGUGCCUAACACAUGCAAGUCGAGCGAUUCUCUUCGGAGAAGAGCGGCGGACGGGUGAGUAACGCGUGGGUAACCUGCCCUGUACACACGGAUAACAUACCGAAAGGUAUGCUAAUACGAGAUAAUAUACUUUUAUCGCAUGGUAGAAGUAUCAAAGCUCCGGCGGUACAGGAUGGACCCGCGUCUGAUUAGCUAGUUGGUAAGGUAACGGCUUACCAAGGCGACGAUCAGUAGCCGACCUGAGAGGGUGAUCGGCCACAUUGGAACUGAGACACGGUCCAAACUCCUACGGGAGGCAGCAGUGGGGAAUAUUGCACAAUGGGCGAAAGCCUGAUGCAGCAACGCCGCGUGAGCGAUGAAGGCCUUCGGGUCGUAAAGCUCUGUCCUCAAGGAAGAUAAUGACGGUACUUGAGGAGGAAGCCCCGGCUAACUACGUGCCAGCAGCCGCGGUAAU
rnacentral:rRNA from 1 species